rfam:Aedes aegypti strain Liverpool supercont1.492 genomic scaffold, whole genome shotgun sequence.
CAAUCGGCUUUUUUUAGAGCCAACAAAUGUGUAAUAAAGAGUUUAU